UACGAAGGGUGCAAGCGUUACUCGGAAUUACUGGGCGUAAAGGGCAGGCAGGCGGAUCCAUAAGUUUAUCGUUUAAGGCGUCGGCUUAACCGGCGUAGGGCGGUAGAUACUGUGGAUCUGGAAUGCGGUUGGGGAAGACAGAAUUCCUGGUGUAGCGGUGGAAUGCGCAGAGAUCAGGAGGAAUACCGAAGGCGAAGGCAGUCUUCCAAGCCGUUAUUGACGCUCAACUGCGAAGGUGUGGGUAUCAAACAGGAUUAGAUACCCUGGUAGUCCCU
rnacentral:rRNA from 1 species